AGUGAACGCUGGCGGUAGGCCUAACACAUGCAAGUCGAACGGCAGCACAGUAAGAGCUUGCUCUUACGGGUGGCGAGUGGCGGACGGGUGAGGAAUACAUCGGAAUCUACUUUUUCGUGGGGGAUAACGUAGGGAAACUUACGCUAAUACCGCAUACGACCUACGGGUGAAAGCAGGGGAUCUUCGGACCUUGCGCGAUUGAAUGAGCCGAUGUCGGAUUAGCUAGUUGGCGGGGUAAAGGCCCACCAAGGCGACGAUCCGUAGCUGGUCUGAGAGGAUGAAGACCCAAUCUGGAAGUGAACAGCGCACCGGCGCCCGCGGGAGGGCACAGGUGGGGAAUAUGGGAAAAUGGGGGGAAGCCUGCACCACCGAUCCCGGGGGGGGGAAGAGGGCCUUCGUGUGGAAAACCCUUUUUUUGGGAAAAAAAAAAGGGCGGUCUAAAACCCGCGUUUUGUGACGGUACCAAAAAAAAAAGCACCGGCUAACUCCGUG
rnacentral:rRNA from 1 species